UAGUGCUGUGGGAUUGAACCCAGGGCCUUACUGUGCUAUAUAUGUACUUUACCGAGUUAUAUCCAGCAUCUAGGAAAUAGGAACAAACUUGAAUCUUUCCAUUUUAGUGGGCUUUUUAGUGGUUUUCUUUUCCUUCUUUCUGUUCAUUCUUCUUUCUAGGAAUCACAUGCUAGGUAAGUACUCUACCACUGAGCUACAGCCCC
rnacentral:sRNA from 1 species